AUGCAACGCGAAGAACCUUACCAAGGCUUGACAUUCACCGGACCGCCCCAGAGAUGGGGUUUCCCUUCGGGGCUGGUGGACAGGUGGUGCAUGGUCGUCGUCAGCUCGUGUCGUGAGAUGUUGGGUUAAGUCCCGCAACGAGCGCAACCCUCGUUCUAUGUUGCCAGCACGUGAUGGUGGGGACUCAUAGGAGACUGCCGGGGUCAACUCGGAGGAAGGUGGGGAUGACGUCAAAUCAUCAUGCCCCUUAUGUCUUGGGCUUCACGCAUGCUACAAUGGCCGGUACAAAGGGUUGCGAUACUGUGAGGUGGAGCUAAUCCCAAAAAGCCGGUCUCAGUUCGGAUUGAGGUCUGCAACUCGACCUCAUGAAGCCGGAGUCGCUAGUAAUCGCAGAUCAGCAACGCUGCGGUGAAUACGUUCCCGGGCCUUGUACACACCGCCCGUCAAGUCACGAAAGUUGGUAACACCCGAAGCCGGUGGCCUAACCCCUUGUGGGAGGGAGCCGUCGAAGGUGGG
rnacentral:rRNA from 1 species